GAGUAAUGCGUGACCAACCUGCCCCAUGCUCCAGAAUAGCUCUUGGAAACGGGUGGUAAUGCUGGAUGCUCCAACUUGACGCAUGUCUUGUUGGGAAAGUGUUUAGUGGCAUGGGAUGGGGUCGCGUCCUAUCAGCUUGUAGGCGGGGUAAUGGCCCACCUAGGCUUCGACGGGUAGCCGGCCUGAGAUGGCGGACGGCCACAUUGGGACUGAGAUACGGCCCAUACUCCUACGGGAGGCAGCAGCC
rnacentral:rRNA from 1 species